CUGGAGAUGAUGAGGUACAUUAAAAUAU
rnacentral:piRNA from 1 species